rnacentral:rRNA from 1 species
UCCUACGGGGAAGCAGCAGUGGGGAAUUUUGGACAAUGGGGGCAACCCUGAUCCAGCCAUUCCGCGUGAGUGAAGAAGGCCUUCGGGUUGUAAAGCUCUUUCAGCCGGAACGAAACGGUACGCUUUAAUAUUGUGUGCUAAUGACGGUACCGGCAGAAGAAGCACCGGCUAACUACGUGCCAGCAGCCGCGGUAAUACGUAGGGUGCGAGCGUUAAUCGGAAUUACUGGGCGUAAAGCGUGCGCAGGCGGAUUGUUAAGCAAGACGUGAAAUCCCCGGGCUUAACCUGGGAAUGGCGUUUUGAACUGGCAGUCUAGAGUGUGUCAGAGGGGGGUGGAAUUCCACGUGUAGCAGUGAAAUGCGUAGAGAUGUGGAGGAACACCGAUGGCGAAGGCAGCCCCCUGGGAUAACACUGACGCUCAUGUACGAAAGCGUGGGGAGCAAACAGGAUUAGAUACCCUGGUAGUCCACGCCCUAAACGAUGUCAACUGGUUGUUGGGGGAGUGAAAUCCCUUAGUACACGAAGCUAACGCGUGAAGUGACCGCCU